CCAGCCGGCCGGGCGGCCGCUGCCGGACUUCGUUGUGGCGAAGCGGGCUCUAAAGGCUCGCAAGCAAGGUAUCCGGUGGAGGAAAGUCCGGGCUCCAUGAUGACACGGUGGCGGCUAACGGCCGCCGGGGGCGACCCCAGGGAAAGUGCCACAGAGAACAUACCGCCCGCCUACGCUGCUUCGCAGCUUCGGCGCGGUAAGGGUGAAAAGGUGCGGUAAGAGCGCACCGCGCUUCUGGUAACAGAAGUGGCAGGGCAAACCCCACCGGGAGCAAGAUCGAAUAGGGAUGGGCGCGCGGAGCGGGAAACCGCAGACGCGAGGCGUGUCAUCACGCUACUCAUCCGGGUUGAUUGCACGAGGCGUCUGGCGACAGGCGUCCCAGAUGAAUGGCCGUCGCGGAGGUAUUUUGGCCAACACUCGGCAAGCCGGUGUUGGGCUGCUUCCAGACAGAACCCGGCUUACAGGCCGGCUGGUAUU
rnacentral:RNase_P_RNA from 2 species